GCGCCUGUAGCUCAAUUGGAUAGAGCAUCUGGCUUCGGACCAGAGGGUUGCGGGUUCGAGUCCUGCCAGGCGCG
rnacentral:tRNA from 1 species